AUUGAACGCUGGCGGCAGGCCUAACACAUGCAAGUCGAACGAGUGGCGGACGGGUGAGUAAUGUCUGGGAAACUGCCUGAUGGAGGGGGAUAACUACUGGAAACGGUAGCUAAUACCGCAUACCAUCAGAUGUGCCCACAUGGUAGUAGCUGGUUGGUGGGGUAAUGGCUCACCAAGGCGACGAUCCCUAGCUGGUCUGAGAGGAUGACCAGCAAAACUGGAACGUAGACACGGUCCAGACUCCUACGGGAGGCAGCAGGGGGGAAUAUUGUGCAAGGGGGGCAAGCCUGAUGCAGCCAUGCCGCGUGUAUGAAGAAGGCCUUCGGGUUGUAAAGUACUUUCAGCGGGGAGGCGUUACCCGCAGAAGAAGCGCCGGCUAACUCCGUGCCAGCAGCCGCGGUAAUUC
rnacentral:rRNA from 1 species